rnacentral:lncRNA from 1 species
AAGGUCUACUGGGUGCCGGGCUCUGCCAUUGGUGGUUUACGUGCUUAAUUCGUUCAAAAGUCCUGCCAUCAGGUUAGUUUUCUCACCAUUUUGCAGAAGAGAAAACUGAGCCUCAGAGAGGUAGGCUGACCUGCCUGAGGCCACAGAGUGAGUGGCAGGGCCGGGGUUUGAACUCAGGGUGUCUGACACUACCAUGUGCCUUCCUGACACUGCAUAGCAUAGCUUCUUCCUAGGAAAUGGCAGGGGGGAGCCCUCCGCUGGCUGCGUCCUUGUGUGAGUCCCUUGACCUCUACUGCCUCAGUUCCCCAUCUGGGAAACCGCGUCAGGCAGGGGCGUGACAGGGAAGGCUGGCCUUUGGAGAGAUCCCUGCGGCCCUCUGGGAAGGAUGUCCUGGCUUCCUUGGACUCAGGACCAGUCCAGUGCAGACAGGUCCUGGAACAGAACAUGGAAACGAGCUCAAGCUUCCUCACCCCAUCUUACCGCAGACACUAAGGUGCUUCUCGGAGCCGGGUUUCUUUGCCGUAAAGUAAUAGAAGACGUGCUAAAGGUGAGAGAUACCGGGUAUAAACCCAGUGUCCAGAACACAGCUCCAUAAACUGGCUUGUUGUUACAGCUGUUUUGAUUAGAUUAGCUAUUUAAUCCCUCUGAGCC